GACGAACGCUGGCGGCGUGCUCAACACAUGCAAGUCGAACGGAGUGGCGAACGGGCGAGUAACACGUGGGUGAUCCGCCUCGCACUUCGGGAUAAGCUUGGGAAACUGGGUCCAAUACCGGAUAGUGCAAGAUGAGCUCGCGGCCUAUCAGCUCGUUGGUGGGGCAAUGGCCUACCAAGACGUCGACGGGUAGCCGGCCUGAGAGGGUGUCCGGACAAAUUGGGACUGAUAUACGGCCCAGACUCCUACGGGAGGCAGCAGUGGGGGAUAUUGCACGAUGGGCGGGAAUCUGAUGCAGCAGCGCCGCGUGGGGGAUGAAGGCCUUCAAAUUGUAAGCUCCUUUCGACAGGGACGCGGUAACUGUAUGAGAAGCACCGGCUGACUACGUGCCAGCAGCCGCGGUAAUUC
rnacentral:rRNA from 1 species